rnacentral:lncRNA from 1 species
AGAGGAACCAACAAGUCAAUGUGGAAGAUAGAACUAACCAAGCAACCACCUACAAUGUGGGAAGGGCAUCAAAGAGGUUAUUCUCCUGACUUUCAAGCCAGAUAUGUACCACAACUGCAUUCUAGUUAACAAGAAGAGGUCAAGAUGAAGACUAUGACAAGUUGUUACAUCCCUAAGAAUAUAAUCUGAAAGCUGGACUUAUUACUUCCUCUACAGCUCAUUGGCCAGAAAUUAGUAACAUGUCCACACCAGGCAGCAAGUGGUGUGAGUAAUGCUAGUCUGUAACUAGGGAGCCAUGGGAUCAGCUAAAAUGUAGUAUAUUCUAGUAUUAAAAAGAAGAAGAAAAUGGAUACUGGGAGUGACAAAGAUUCUUUCCUUGGCCAAACCCUAGCCAGGCUCCUCUGAGCUCUCUUCUCAACUAGGCCUCAAUCUUGACCCACUACUUGAAUAAAAUGCUAACAUCGUUUUUAACAGCAAAGGCAACCUCCCUAGGUUAACCCUAGACUCCCUUAAAGUGCCUGCCUGAAAAAGUUCAAGGUUACCAAAAUACCUUAUUAUUUGUUCCAGCCAAUAUUUGAAGCUAAGGCCCCUGUCUCUCAGCCUCUGUUGGAGUGUAAGAGCUUAAUUUUUAAAAGUUACCAUUUAAUAAACCCAGGUGAGCUUCACAUGGACCUACUCCCCCUUCCCACUUUUUAUAAUUUUUUCAGUUUCAUGACCCUGCUUAGCCCCUGCUCACUUCCCUCCCUAUUCCCAUAUUCUCUGUUUAAAACACCUGGUCGCUUUUUGGUAUCAUUUGAAUGAUGGUGUUCACUCCAACGUUCAUAUUAAAACUUAGUUCAUAAUGCAACAGUAUUAAGAGAUGUGGUCUUUGGGAGGUGAUUAAGUCAUAAAGGCCCAACCCUCAUGAUUUGGAUUAGCACCCUUAGGAAAAGGAUUGGGGUUGAAGAGAACACUCUCUUGCCCUUCUGUCAUCCCUUCUGCCAUAGGAUAACACCUAGGUGGUACCAUCUAUGAGGAAUGGGCUUCCCCAGACACUGAAUCUGCUGGUGCAUUUAUUUUGGAUGCCCCAGCCUCUAGAACAGUGAGAAAAUAAAUUUCUCAUUUUCAUAAAUUACUGAGUCUCAGGUAUGUUGUUAUAGCAGCAUAAAUAAACCAAGACACUUUAGUAUAAAUCAAAGUUGAAUUCAGUUUACAUUGAAUUAUUUUCCUAUUGUAAUAGUGUGCUACUGAUUAAAAUCUGUC